GUCGAGGGGUAGAAAUAGCUUGCUAUUUUGAGACCGGCGCACGGGUGCGUAACGCGUAUGCAACCUACCUUGUACAUAGGGAUAGCCCAGAGAAAUUUGGAUUAAUACCUAAUGGUGUUAUGAAUCGGCAUCGGUUUAUAACUAAAGAUUUAUCGGUACAAGAUGGGCAUGCGUCCCAUUAGCUAGUUGGUAUGGUAACGGCAUACCAAGGCUACGAUGGGUAGGGGUCCUGAGAGGGAGAUCCCCCACACUGGUACUGAGACACGGACCAGACUCCUACGGGAGGCAGCAGUGAGGAAUAUUGGUCAAUGGGCGCAAGCCUGAACCAGCCAUGCCGCGUGCAGGAUUAAGGUCCUAUGGAUUGUAAACUGCUUUUGUACGGGAAGAAACAACUCUUCGAGAAGAGUCUUGACGGUACCGUAAGAAUAAGGAUCGGCUAACUCCGUGCCAGCAGCCGCGGUAAUACGGAGGAUCCAAGCGUUAUCCGGAAUCAUUGGGUUUAAAGGGUCCGUAGGCGGCCUUAUAAGUCAGUGGUGAAAUCUCACGGCUCAACCGUGAAAUUGCCAUUGAUACUGUAGGGCUUGAAUGGCUGUGAAGUAACUAGAAUAUGUAGUGUAGCGGUGAAAUGCUUAGAUAUUACAUGGAAUACCGAUUGCGAAGGCAGGUUACUAACAGUUUAUUGACGCUGAUGGACGAAAGCGUGGGUAGCGAACAGGAUUAGAUACCCUGGUAGUCCACGCUGUAAACGAUGGAUACUAGCUGUUUGAGCGCUUC
rnacentral:rRNA from 1 species